UACGAAGGGUGCAAGCGUUAAUCGGAAUUACUGGGCGUAAAGCGCGCGUAGGUGGUUUGUUAAGUUGGAUGUGAAAGCCCCGGGCUCAACCUGGGAACUGCAUCCAAAACUGGCAAGCUAGAGUACGGUAGAGGGUGGUGGAAUUUCCUGUGUAGCGGUGAAAUGCGUAGAUAUAGGAAGGAACACCAGUGGCGAAGGCGACCACCUGGACUGAUACUGACACUGAGGUGCGAAAGCGUGGGGAGCAAACGGG
rnacentral:rRNA from 1 species